AGCGAACGUUUGCGGCGGGCUUAACACAUGCAAGUCGAACGAGAAUCCCUUCGGGGAGGAAAGUGGCGCACGGGUGCGUAACACGUGGAUAACCAACCCAUUGGUUUGGGACAACACCGGGAAACUGGUGCUAAUACCAGAUGUGUCGCAGCUGUCUUCAGGCGGUUGCGAGAAAGGCCCGCAAGGGUCGCCAACGGACGGGUCCGCGUCCCAUCAGCUAGUUGGUGAGGUAAUGGCUCACCAAGGCAAAGACGGGUAGCUGGUCUGAGAGGAUGAUCAGCCACACUGGAACUGAGACACGGUCCAGACUCCUACGGGAGGCAGCAGUGGGGAAUAUUGCGCAAUGGGACGAAAGCCUGACGCAGCCACGCCGCGUGAGCGAUGAAGGUCUUCGGAUACGUAAAGCUCUGGUGGGGGAGAAGAAGAAAGCCGGUGAAGAGCCGGCCUGACGGUAUCCCUUAGCAAGCACCGGCUAACUCCGUGCCAGCAGCCG
rnacentral:rRNA from 1 species